rnacentral:sRNA from 1 species
UCGGAACCCUGGACGGCGGCGUCGAGCCGGCCCUGCUUCAGCUGGGCGCGGGCAUCGGCGGAGCCU